UACGUAGGGGGCAAGCGUUGUCCGGAAUUAUUGGGCGUAAAGAGCGUGUAGGCGGUCCGGUAAGUCAGCUGUGAAAGUCAAGGGCUCAACCCUUGAAUGCCGGUUGAUACUGUCGGGCUAGAGUCCGGAAGAGGCGAGUGGAAUUCCCGGUGUGGCGGUGAAAUGCGCAGAUAUCGGGGGGAACACCAAUGGCGAAGGCAGCUCGCUGGGACGGUACUGACGCUGAGACGCGAAAGCGUGGGGAGCAAACAGG
rnacentral:rRNA from 1 species